AUUGAACGCUGGCGGCAUGCCUUACACAUGCAAGUCGAACGGUAACAGGUUAAGCUGACGAGUGGCGAACGGGUGAGUAAUAUAUCGGAACGUGCCCAGUCGUGGGGGAUAACGUAGCGAAAGCUACGCUAAUACCGCAUACGAUCUACGGAUGAAAGCGGGGGAUCGCAAGACCUCCAGCGAUUGGAGCGGCCGAUAUCAGAUUAGGUUGUUGGUGAGGUAAAAGCUCACCAAGCCUGCGAUCUGUAGCUGGUCUGCGAGGACGACCAGCCACAUUGGAACUGAGACACGGUCCAGACUCCUACGGGAGGCAGCAGUGGGGAAUUUUGGACAAUGGACGCAAGUCUGAUCCAGCAAUGCCGCGUGCAGGACGAAGGCCUUCGGGUUGUAAACUGCUUUUGUACGGAACGAAACGGUGAGCUCUAAUACAGUUUGCUAAUGACGGUACCGUAAGAAUAAGCACCGGCUAACUACGUGCCAGCCGCUGCAGUAA
rnacentral:rRNA from 1 species